AGCGAACGCUGGCGGCGUGGAUCAGACAUGCUAGUCGAACGAGAAUUCGGGGGCAACUCCGAUACUAAAGUGGCGAAAGGGCGAGUAAUACGUGAUCAAUCUACCUCUUAGACGGGAACAACGACUGGAAACGGUCGCUAAUGCCCGAUGAGCCUGCGAUGAGGCAUCUCAUUGUUGGGAAACGGUUGGGAUCUUUGGACCUUCUGCUAAGAGAAGGGAUCACGUCCAUUAGCUAGUUGGUGGGGUUACGGCCCACCAAGGCUGUGAUGGGUAGGCCGGCCUGAGAGGGUGGUCGGCCGCAUUGAGACUGAGACACGGCUCAGACUCCUACGGGAGGCAGCAGUCGAGAAUCUUCCGCAAUAGGCGAAAGCCUGACGGAGCGACGCCGCGUGGAGGAUGAAGGCCUUCGGUU
rnacentral:rRNA from 1 species